AACGCACCUUGCGCUCUCUGGUAUUCCGGAGAGCAUGCCUGUUUGAGUGUCAUGAACUCUUCAACCCACUAAUUCCUAGUUGAAUUAAGCUGGAGUUUGGAUUUUGAGUGCUGCUAUUAAUUUAGCUCACUUGUAAAAUAUUAGCGUUUCAAUUUUGUAAUCGGAUUGACUCAGUGUAAUAGACUAUUCGCUGAGGACACCUCUGGUGGCCGAAACAAAAAAACGUAAGCUUCCAAUUCAAAAGUCAAUUUAUGAUUAGACCUCAGAUCAGGCAGGAUUACCCGCUGAACUUAA
rnacentral:misc_RNA from 1 species